rnacentral:miRNA from 1 species
AUGUGGAUUCCCUGGGGAAUCUCCCUAAAAUGUAGACUCUGACUCAUUGAAUCUGGGGCAGCACCUGAGAUUCUGCAUUUCUAAAAACCUUCCAAGUGAUGGCCAU